rnacentral:lncRNA from 1 species
AGCCACUACCCUCCCUUACGCAGUCGCACCAUAAACCUCCUCACUUUCCCCCACAGCCCUCUGGGCUUCGACCCAUCAACUGAACACGCGCCAAACCUAGCGCACACGCCCCAAACCUAGCGCACACGCCCCAAGUUCGGCCCAAUAAGAGUCCCAAACCGCGGGGGUGGACGCCACGGGGAUAAAUUAACCGCAGCGUGGGGCGGAGACUUUUAAGGGUGGAGCCUGGCCCUGGAGCAACGUCUAGUGAGCUGUUCUGUGAACAUGGGUAGGUUCGGGCGUAGAGCUGGCAGCGGCGAGGUGUGAGCCUGCGCUGGGCGCCGAAAUAGGGCGUGUCAGUUGUUUGGUGCAGGUGUAGCAGGGAACCAGAGCAUCUCUCGCCGCCGGAGUGCGUCUUGCCGAAGCCUGUGGUUGCACGCCCACCCUCUUAGGGGCUCUGCUCUGCGACCAUGUCCAAGUCUCUGGAGAAGUUGGUGGAGGAAAGCCGGUAGGAGAACCAGCCCGAAGUGGACAUGAGUGACCGGGGCAUCGCCAAUAUGCUACAAGUCAAUGCUGUAAGGAAGCAACUGGACAACAAGAAAAUGAUAUUGGCAUUAUUGUACGAGCUCCACAAGAUCUGACAAGUAAUGACAAUUUUAUUUUUUAUGCCAAAAUAAUAGAAGUGAUAAGAUGCCCACAUCAGAGUCAGCACAAAAAGAAGAUACAACAUCACCUUCAGUUUCUGAGGUCACAACUGUGGAUGUGGAAGAGAUAGGAAACCUCGCCACUUAAGAUAGAAGCAGCAGCUGCAUAGUGGUAACAGCAAUGAGUGGAUGUCAAAAGAUAAGUCUGUGUUUUGAUUCUGUCACUUACUAUCUAUGGGAACUUGGAAAAAAUCCUUUAACCUAAUCAAGUACCAGUAACCUUGUUUAUAAAAACAGUGCUCAUAUCUACCUCUUAGGUGCAUGUGAUGAAAUAAUGUUGUAACAAAUGUGAAAACAUUUUGUAAACUGGAAAGUCUGUAUCCAAAUGUAAGACAAAAUGAUCAAAGUGGCAUUUAUGUGAAAGCAGUAUUGUUAGCACAAGAAUGGGGAGUAAGAGCAGGCAUGUGGAUUUCUAAUUUUGGGUAAGGGGUUGGUAACUUUCAGCAGGCUACUACUGCAGAUUUUCCGUAGAAAUAUAGCAGUUUGGAAAAUUAGACUUUCCUGUCGAGAUUUUCAAUGUUUUGACCUGGAGUAAUUUCUUUCUGAGUACCAACUGUGUGCUAGACAGUGAGUCUCUGAAUAUCCAAGAUGAG